AGAGUUUGAUCAUGGCUCAGGAUGAACGCUGGCGGCGUGCCUAAGACAUGCAAGUCGAAUGUGCUCCGGCCUUACGCCGGAGUAACAUGGCGAACGGGUGAGUAAUACCUAGGAACGUAUCUUUAGUUGAGGAUAUCCCGUCGAAAGACGGAGUAAUACUCAAUGUGGCCGCAAGGCUAAAGUCGCAAGACGCUAAAGAAGCGGCCUGGGCACCAUCAGCUAGUUGGUAAGGUAACGGCUUACCAAGGCUAUGACGGUUAGGGGUCCCGAGAGGGAGAACCCCCACACUGGAACUGCGACACGGUCCAGACUCCUACGGGAGGCAGCAGUUUGGAAUUUUGGACAAUGGGCGAAAGCCUGAUCCAGCGACGCCGCGUGGACGAUGAAGGCCUUCGGGUUGUAAAGUCCUUUUGCCACCGAACAAUUUUUGAGCGUAGGUGGAGAAUAAGAGGUUGCUAACUCUGUGCCAGCAGCAGCGGUAAUACAGAGACCUCAAGCGUUAUCCGGAAUCAUUGGGCGUAAAGCGUACCGAUAGGUGGUUUUACAAGUCAGAAGUGAAAUCUCUCAGCUUAACUGGGAGACUGUCUUUUGAUACUGUAAAACUAGAGGGGCAAAGAGGAAGCUGGAACAAACGGUGUAGUAGUGAAAUGCGUUGAUAUCGUUUGGAACACCAAUAGCGUAGGCAGGCUUCUGGGUGCCACCUGACACUGCUAGGACGAAAGCGUGGGGAGCGAUAAGGAUUAGAUACCCUAGUAGUCC
rnacentral:rRNA from 1 species